AUGUUUCAGCCCAUCAUUUUAUUCAUCCUCAUUCUAGUGUUGUUCUCCUCACUCUCUUAUGCCACCAUUUUUAAACUUGUAUUUCUUUUUACACUCUUUUUUGUCCUGUGAUAACUAUCCGUCCACUCAUUAGCAUAGUCUCGCCCUUUGUUUUGUUUGUUUGUCAAUGUUGUGUAUGUCACCAUGGUUGAAGAAUGACAGGACGGUCACUUUCCAAGCACAGAAGUCUGCAAAACCUUAAUUUCCAAAAAGCUGGAGACUGUUUUAUCCAAGUCAUUCAUCGCAUAUGUAUGGCUGCCUUUGGAAAGUACAUCAUCAAGACAAGAGGUUUAUUUUUUUGCAACUAAAAACUAUUACACAUCAUAAGAAAACACUGAGCCACUCGAAACUACAUUGCCCAGAAGACAUUUCUUUCAUUGAGGACUAUGACUAUCAGGCACACUGAUGCUUGCUUUGCCACCAAAGGCUUGCAAUGAAAUAUGCAACUGCAGUUUACUACUAAGGGGCACAUUACCAUAUUACCCAGAGUGCCUGCCACUGCACUCUGAAGAUACAGUACAUUGGCUGGAAUGAUUACCUGUCAGAACCAUGUAAAGAGGUAUUGGUGGACUUGCCAAUGUGGUCACUUAAGUGACCUUUCAGGAAUUGCAGCGUAAGAUUCUGAGCACAGGCACACAUACACAGAAGAAUGGCUGCAUUGGAAUUGCACUGUGGGCGGGAGCCUGGGAGUUGUGUGUGGGUUGGAGACAGAGCUGACCUGCUUGACAGUUUUGACUCCGAGAUGCAGGAAUGGGAAGAUCAGCUACAGGACAUGCAGAGGAAGAUUGAAGAGUUGUAUAAUGAGGUCAAAGCACGAAGAGAAGCCAGUGAGAGCAGCACAAACAAUAAAAACCUGGACAUUACUUUGCUUCCUGUCAACUCUCAAUAUAGCCACCAGGCCAAUGGUUAUCACGAACCUCAUGGUCACCCCAACAACAGCCUCCCAUUUCAUCAAUGCAGUGAAAUAAAAGCAGAUCCUUCAGUUAUGCAAAGCCUUGGGUUUCACCACCCCAGUGAAUACUGUAAUGGCUCCAACAAUUACAUGCUUAAUUCCCUGAGCAACGGCAGCCAUUACCCUGCCAGUCGUCAUGAUCUUGAAAGGCAAGAUGCCACUGUACACAUACUCAAUGGAUACCUCCAACAGGGCCCGCAUUUUAGGAGGAACCCAGGGAAUCUUGGAGCUCCAAAUAGAUUUCAGAACCCCAAGGUAUAUCCAGUUAAACACAGUUAUCAAGACAGCAUGAAGACCAGCCUGGUGACAAACAGGACUGCCUUAUGUGUGGUUCUGGAUGAGACUGAUGAGGCUGAGAACAAAAAGAACAAGAAAUCAAGUUGGGGUGACUCCCAAGGCCGCCACGUUAGCUGGAAAGACCCGGUUUCAUCAAAUGACCUUCCCCCUAAAAAUUCAGCUACCAAACUGGCAAUCAGGCAGAGAGAUUCUUCUCCUGUAACCCCUUUUUCCACUUACUAUGAGUCAUCACAGCAACCUGACAGGAAGUGCCUCUUGCUCGACAGGAAAUCUGGCAGCCCAUCAGUGUUGCGUAAGUUUGGUGCCAUGUUGCAGGAGAAUGAGGGAAAAACCUUGAUAGAGGAUGGUCUUGUAACCAUCGUUGUCUCCUCUGAACCUCCGAGGCAAACCAGCACUCCCAUUUGCCAGAGCAAGUUUGACGCUAGGCGGGCAUCUUCACACGUCCAGAAAUGCCUUGCAGACUGUGAUGUACUGAUAGCAGAUCUGGAGCAGAGACAAGAGUCUUGGGCAGCUGGUCCUUCUAGACACCUCCUCAAUGGAGACAGAGACAGUGGGAGGGGUGGUUGUGUUCUUGAACAGCAUGGCUUGGCCUAUAACUUAAGCCAGUCACAGACUCACCUUAAUUCGGGGUAUCACAAGUUGGCUUCAAUGUCUAAAGCCCACAAAGCGAGCUUCCAGAGUAAGGACCUAUUCUCUGACUGCCAGAUGGUAGAAACAAUUCUGGGAGUAGGAUCUCAAAACUUCAAUAAGGUACACAGAGGACUUGGUGUUGAUAUGAUGAGACUGGGAAAUGACAACUUGGAGCAACUUCUGGAAAUGAUGGAAAGAGAAAACAACAGAAGUCAGAGGGCCACAUUCACCCAGCAACUGGACAACAAGCAGGUCAACCGUGAGUCAUCUCCUGCGCCCAGCAGUAGCCAUUUUUCUCGUCCUGCUCGACCAGCCAAUCAACGCCGUCCAUCCAGAUGGGUUAAGCAUACUCACCCAAGCAAAAUCGCAGACACAUCCAUCCCAACAAGCCCUGGCCUGAAUGCCAAACAAUUCUUGAAUUCAUAUUUCCGGCACACAGAAACUGUCAUCAUGUAAUCAUGAUACAACAAGCUUCAAAGGACACUUUCACCCAAUGGCAUAAACUAAACUUUGACCUUUUGUAGAACACAAUCUACUUUUUUGUAUAUAUAACCAACACCACCACAUCAGCGUAUCUUAUUGCAGCCUGCUAGAAUGGACUAUGGUAUUUUCCUUAAAUGACUUCAAAAGGAUAAUGCUUUCAUUUAACUCUGUGCUGUAUGAAGUGCUUUGGAAAGAAACUCCAGUGGACAUUCUCUGACCUGGUGAAUUUCUGUGCCUAUGAACCCUUCAUUGCCUUUUCUCUUCAUUUCUUUCUGUCAUUCUCAUUAAAUUUUCUAUUCUUUUAUUGUUUUUUAUUUU
ensembl:lncRNA